GCAGAGCUCACGGAUAUCGUCAAGCAUCUCACUAGUCUCAAGGGGGUUUCCUUGACUCCAGAGAGAAUAGAGCAUUAAGCUAUAUCCUGAAUAAUAGUGGACAGCACUUUAAAAAGAUGCUUUUCAUUUUAAGGUGGGAAAGAUGAUGUUCUGGAAGUAUAACAUGCAUUUUCUUUAAGAUAAUUCAUUUGUGCCACUAGGUUAAAGGAGGUAAGAAGCCUUAAGUAAUAUACUUUUCAUCAGAAAUUCUACAGCCACAAAUUAUGCUAGGUUUUAUGUAGCAUUCAAAAGAAGUUUAAUUCCUGACCUUAUGUAAACAAAAGGUAUAAUGAUCGUAAGCAGGGCUGUUGUUGCAGUCCUGUUAUUAAUGGCCUUUUGCAAA
rnacentral:lncRNA from 1 species